UGCUUUGUUAAUUAUGUAUUAUACUAAAAUUGGAACAGCACAGAGAAGGUAAACACAGCCGACGUGCAAGGAUGGCUCACACAUCUGUGAAUCAUUCCAUAUUUGU
ensembl:snRNA U6 U6 spliceosomal RNA